UUGUGCCAGCCGCCGCGGUAAUACGAAGGGGGCUAGCGUUGCUCGGAAUCACUGGGCGUAAAGGGCGCGUAGGCGGCCAUUUAAGUCGGGGGUGAAAGCCUGUGGCUCAACCACAGAAUUGCCUUCGAUACUGGGUGGCUUGAGUCCGGAAGAGGUUGAUGGAACUGCGAGUGUAGAGGUGAAAUUCGUAGAUAUUCGCAAGAACACCGGUGGCGAAGGCGGCCAACUGGUCCGGAACUGACGCUGAGGCGCGAAAGCGUGGGGAGCAA
rnacentral:rRNA from 1 species